ACACUCCGCGCCGAACUAUAUUAAGCCAAUCAAGGCUAGUUUAUCACUCAGUCGAGUAUCUGCCCUCGCGGCGAACACAUCAGCUCCUGCUCUGCUCGAUUCUUCUGCGCUUUUUCUCUCUCUACUCUUCUCGUUCGUACUUUUGGUGAUAUUACAUAUUUUCUCUCUCGUCGAUUACAUGGAAGUGCCUGUGUGCCAAGUUCUUCCGCCGCGGAGGUGUGGCUGCAGCGGCCGGAUGGAUUAUCACACUCGCACGUGUCGACGCAGCCGCCGAGGAUCAACAGGUCCUGGUACGAGCUGAAAACACUGUCGGAUUCACCCGGAGAGAAGAAUCUUCUUGAAGCGCAUAUAAGCCUCGGCGAGACCAUUCAUCCAGCGACGACUCAAUGAGGGCCACUGUGUUUUUCGUCGCAUAACUCCGGCGCACAUUGGAGGCGUUGUGGUGAGGCUGUAGUUCGGGCGUGUACGCGGUGGAAGAUGAUAGAAUUGAUGCAGAAGAUUCGAUGGACGAUUUGGAGAAAAAUUUUCGCAAAAUCCCGUCCUGUUCCUAAGUACUAGUGCCGCAGGAGUGACUAGAUUGGGCUAGAAAUUACCGCGUCUCCUGCUGCUCAAGUGCUUAUCAAUGGUUCGGGACGCACGACAAUGUAUACUUUGCGAAAAUGUUCGAUUCAGCGUGUUUGCGAACUUCGAUUGCGGCCAGUGCGCUGAAAGUUUAUAAAAUUAAGUUGAGUUGUAAAACAUCACAGAUGUUAUGUAUGAUUAGUGUUUUUGUAUUGUGAUAUUUAAUAAAGUGUAUAUAUACAUAUUUACGAGAAAACAUA